UAAAGGAGAUGGCCUGUUCUUCUGCACUGAGUUCAAGCAAGUUACUUUGAAACUGGUGGGGUUACUCAUUUGGGAUUUGCAGACUGCUUUUAUCCAGAACCUGUUGAGAGAACAGAGGAUAACUCUUAAGUUUAAACUUGUCAAACCUGGGACCAACUUUCCAUGAAAUGAGUAUCAUAUAGUAGAGUGGAUUCAAGAAAUUAUCCUAAGAAAAUGUACAAGGAUCAUGCAUGAUGUUGUUUCACUCAUAUGUCCAGCCAUGGCCCUGCUGCGGCUGAGACCUGUGUUGAUCGCCAUGGUCCACGUUACCACCAAAGGCCAUGCAGAUUCCGGGGUCUGUGCUGCCAGUGGAAGACAUAUCGAUGUGAGUGGCCUGUGCUGCCACCUGAGGCCAUGGUGAUGCACAGAGCCUUGCUGCCACCAAGAGUCAUGUCUGAGGCCCUACUGCAGCCAGGGUUUGUGUUGAUGUUCGUGGGCCAAGGUACCACCAAAGGUCAUGCCAAUGUCCAUGGUGGGCACUGCUGCCUGAAGCCAUCUAGAUGCCCAUGGACUACGUAGCUGCCAGGGGCCAUACUGAUCUGAGUGGCCUGUGCUGCCACGCUGAUGCCCGUGGUUUGGGCAGCCUAUGAGGGCCAUGUUGGUGGUCUGUGCUAUUGCCAGAGUAGAGGACCAUGAUCCAUAGUUCCCCCUGACUAUCAAGAACAAGGAUACUACUUUUGUCAUGGUAUCGAUGACUACAGAUGCACAGUUGAGAGAGGGAUAGACUGUGGAAGGCUUCUAUGACAAACCCUAUUCUCAUCCCAACCCUACCCAAAACAACAACAAAGAAGGAACAACCUAGACAGGAAGCCACCAAAGAGAACUCUUAAAAAGUGUGACAGAGAGGCUAAAAAGAACUCUCCACAACUAAUGGCUUCUGGUGGAGGUGUGGGAGGGGAAGGCCUCAAUUCUAUUUAAAGGGCAAGCCACUAAGAAUUUGACCAUGUCCCAGCAAAUAUAUAGAUAACACAAAGAACUUUCUUUUUUCUUUCUUUUUCCUUUUUUUGGUUUUUAGAGAUAGGGUUUCUCUGUGUAAUAGUCCUGAUUGUCCUAGAAUUCGCUCGGUAGAUCAAGGCUGGCCUCGAACUCACUGAGAUCCACCUGCCAGUCUAGUCUACAUAGUGAAUUUCAGGACAGCCAGAACUGUUACACAGAGAAACCCUGUCUUGAAAAAACCAAAAUAAAAGGAAAAUUAUAUUCUCCUUUAAUAGUUCAAAAGGGAUGAAAGUAACUUUCAGUUUAGUCAGUCAGCAAAUGGAAAGCAGUCAGGAUAUUUGUCAUUUCAUUACGUAGGCGUGGGAGGGAUGAAAGGUCCCUGAUGUCAGGGACCCAAUGGACGAAUGUACUUCAGAGGGAUAGCAUUUGGGCACUGUGGAGUGGAGCAGCAUGAAAGCCUUCCCUGGUGAAGGUGCCCAGUUUACCACUGAAGAGCACCUUACAGAAGAAGCCCUUAACUAAGAUGAGGGGAGGUUAGACCUCUCCUCACAAACAUUUGUAAACAUAGUUUUCCUUUUUUUUUUCCCACAUAACAUUUUUACUGAUUCUCUGGGCUUUUCACAUCAUUCAUCCUGAUUACAAUCCCUUCAACUCCUUACCAAAAGAAGUUUUUUUCUUUCUUUCUUUCUUUCUUUUUAAAUGUCAGGUGGUGGUGGUGCACACCUUUAAUCCCAGCACUCGAGAGGUAAAGGCAAGCAGAUCUCUGAAUUCAAAGCCAGCCUGAUCUACAGAUCAAGUUCCAGGACAGCUAGGGCUACACAGAGAAACUAUGUUUGGGGUGGGGGGCAGGAUGUAAGCUACCUCUCAAGCCAGAUAAGUUGCAUAUACCUAGUAAUCUUAGCACUUUCCAAGUAAAGCCAGAAUGUGUGCUCUUGUUCUUAUCUUGUAUUCAACUUUAUCCUUAGCCACAGUGAGCUCAGCACCAGCCUGUGAUACAUGAGACCCUGUCUCAAACAAACAAUAAAAUUAAAAUAGUUUAUCGAAAACACUGUUUAAAAGUUGGAAACUACAUUUAAACAUUUUACUGAAGACAUUACUAUCAGGUCAUGUAUCAGCUACAUAAUUAAUUAUCACCCUGUAUUACAUGAGACCCUGUGUCAAAAAACAAUCCCCCCUCCUCCCCCAGCUCUCACACUGCAACAGGGCUGUGGUUCAUUUAAAACAUAUUUGAAGGUUUUUCUCAAUUUUGUUUGGUUGUUUGUUGUGAGACAAAGUCUCACUAUGAAGCACAGAUUGAUCUGGAACCUACUAUGUAAACCAGGCUGUCCUCAAACCCAAAAGGUCUGCCUGCCUGUCUUCCCUGUGCUGAGGUAAGAGGGGCACCAAUAGUCCCCAGCUGUUUUGUAUUUUUAAGACAAUCACUCUAGCUAAGCACACACCUGUGACAUCCUACUCAGGAAGCUUACACAAGAGAAUCACUGCAAGUCUGAGGCCAGCCUGGCCUCCUUAACAAAUUGCAGGCUAGUCUGGGAUACAGAGUGAGAAAAAAGGAAGUUAUUGUAGACUGUUUUUACUCUGUAAGAAAUCCCAAGUCAAAUAGAAUCAAUCAGUCUAUCACACAGGUCAACCCCUCCUUGGCGCACCU